GCGAGUCUGGCCGAGUGGUUAAGGCGUUGUGUUUAGGUAAUCCUACAAGGAUACACUUGAACCGCAAUGGGUCCGCCCGCGUAGGUUCGAUCCCUACGGCUCGCA